rnacentral:rRNA from 1 species
GACGAACGCUGGCGGCGUGCUUAACACAUGCAAGUCGAACGGAAAGGCCCUGCUUUUGUGGGGUGCUCGAGUGGCGAACGGGUGAGUAACACGUGAGUAACCUGCCCUUGACUUUGGGAUAACUUCAGGAAACUGGGGCUAAUACCGGAUAGGAGCUCCUGCUGCAUGGUGGGGGUUGGAAAGUUUCGGCGGUUGGGGAUGGACUCGCGGCUUAUCAGCUUGUUGGUGGGGUAGUGGCUUACCAAGGCUUUGACGGGUAGCCGGCCUGAGAGGGUGACCGGCCACAUGGGGACUGAGAUACGGCCUAGACUCCUACGGGAGGCGGCAGUGGGGAAUAUUGCACAAUGGGCGGAAGCCUGAUGCAGCAACGCCGCGUGCGGGAUGACGGCCUUCGGGUUGUAAACCGCUUUCGCCUGUGACGAAGCGUGAGUGACGGUAAUGGGUAAAGAAGCACCGGCUAACUACG